CGAAGGUGGCAAGCGUUGUUCGGAUUUACUGGGCGUACAGGGAGCGUAGGCGGUUGGAUAAGCCCUCCGUGAAAUCUCCAGGCUUAACCUGGAAAGUGCAGAGGGGACUGUUCAGCUAGAGGAUGGGAGAGGAGCGCGGAAUUCCCGGUGUAGCGGUGAAAUGCGUAGAGAUCGGGAGGAAGGCCGGUGGCGAAGGCGGCGCUCUGGAACAUUUCUGACGCUGAGGCUCGAAAGCGUGGGGAGCAAACAGGAUUAGAUACCCUGGUAGUCCACGCCUUAAACGAUGGAUACUAAGUGUCGGCGGGUUACCGCCGGCGCCGCAGCUAACGCAGUAAGUAUCCCGCCUGGGAAGUACGGCCGCAAGGUUG
rnacentral:rRNA from 1 species